CCUACGGGUGGCUGCAGUGAGGAAUAUUGCGCAAUGGGGGAAACCCUGACGCAGCGACGCCGCGUGAGUGAGGAAGGCCUUCGGGUCGUAAAGCUCUGUCAAGAGGAAAGAAGUGUACAAUGGCUAAUACCUGUUGUAUUUGACGGUACCUCUAAAGGAAGCACCGGCUAACUCCGUGCCAGCAGCCGCGGUAAUACGGAGGGUGCAAGCGUUGUUCGGAAUCACUGGGCGUAAAGGGCGCGUAGGUGGCUUGGUAAGUCAGAUGUGAAAGCCCACGGCUUAACUGUGGAAGUGCAUUUGAAACUGUCAGGCUUGAGUACCAGAGGGGAAAGUGGAAUUCCCGGUGUAGAGGUGAAAUUCGUAGAUAUCGGGAGGAAUACCGGUGGCGAAGGCGACUGCCUGGACGAUAACUGACGCUGAGGCACGAAAGCUAGGGGAGCAAACAGGAUUAGAUACCCCAGUAG
rnacentral:rRNA from 1 species